UUAACAACGACACCAGUAUCCACAGGACCUUAACUUGGAAGAAUUUCAGGGGCUAAGGUUACAGUACAAAAAUAUUUACAUAUUGUCUCCGUGCAUAUGGACAUAUAUGUAAAAGAAACUCAAGU
rnacentral:lncRNA from 1 species